CAUCGGUCUGUGUGAUAUUAGAUCAAUGAUAAUUGUAUUUUGUUGUCAAGAGUCUAUCAUUCAUACUUCAAAUAUGUGAAGUGAUUUGUGAUGAGACGUGAAGUACAAAUCUAUCAUGAUAAAAUACAUUCACAUCUCUUCAAACAAUUUUUAUUUUGAGCUGAACUUAAUAAUCAUGAGAGGUAAAUGUGUUCAACAAAUCUGAAGGAUGAUAUGAUGGUCAUAUAAAGUUAUACUGUUUAAUUUAGGAUCAUGUUAUUAGAAAUUGAAAAGAAGAAAAAAACUUAUGCAAAACUGUAUUAGGGACAGCCAAAAUUUCAAAAAGAAAAGACAAAAACAAAACUUUAAAAAGGCUUAUGGUAAGCGUGAAUAGUUAAUCUUCAACAGGACCAAAACGAACUUCUGAAGUUUCAAAUUAGAGUGAUGGUAGGAUCAAAACUGGUUAUUAAAACUGAGCAAGGCCAUGCACAAGGGGACACAACCGAACAUGAAAACUGUCAAAGAAUUGGCAUAAUUGCAUAAAAGUCGAAAAAAGAAAAGAAAAGAAAGAAAUAAUGAAAGGAUAAGAAAAGUGUCCAAUUAUGAAAUACCAGAAAUGACAGGAAUACAAUAAGAUCGUCAUCAGUCAACAAGCCAACUUUUGAUAACAAUUCUUUUGGUGAUCUAUUUGUGUUAUCUUGAGUUACAUUUCUGUAUUAAUUCCAUAUAAUUUAAUUUUGGAUGUAACGCGUCUUCUGAUUGGCUAACGUUAUUUUGUUAUGAGCCCAUAGACAUAAUUUAGUCAUGUGACCGUGACGUCAUCAACGUUUUUUUCAUGGUUUUCUGCGGUUUAAAAUGGAUUUUAGAAUUAAAUUAUAAGAAAUGACUGUAAUAUUUUUUCUGUCUAUUCGAAAUAACAUAAAAAAUGUGGUGCACACUGUUAAAUAACCCGCU
rnacentral:lncRNA from 1 species